rnacentral:lncRNA from 1 species
ACUCCAAAUGUAAGUUUUGCCACAUUAGCUAAAGUAAGAGGUGCAAUAUAUAAUAUAUGACUUAAUUUUCAACAUUGAAAUAUGUUUUAUUUGGAGAAGUAAUGAAUAAUUCUAUAGUGCUAUAGAUUGUAUAUUUUUUAAUUUGUAUUUGUCAAAUAUGUAGAUUAUUUAUUGAAAAAUGCUAUAUGUUAGGUCAAAAUAAAAAAAUAAUUGUUUGCCAUAGAUUGACCAAACCAGAAAUCCCACCUUUUAUUUAAAAAAUUUUUGGUUCAUAAUUUUUUUUUUUGAAUUACAACUUUUAGUAGAAAGCCAACCUUUAUGAACUGUUCAGUUUGUUUAUAACUAUUAUAAACCAUUGUCUUCCUUAUUUUUUACACUAAC